rnacentral:rRNA from 1 species
CCUACGGGUGGCAGCAGUGAGGAAUAUUGGUCAAUGGUCGGGAGACUGAACCAGCCAAGCCGCGUGAGGGAUGACUGUACUGUGUGUCGUAAACCUCUUUUGUAAAGGAACAAAACCAGGGACGUGUCCCCGUAUGCGUGUACCUUAAGAAUAAGCAUCGGCUAACUCCGUGCCAGCAGCCGCGGUAAUACGGAGGAUGCGAGCGUUAUCCGGAUUUAUUGGGGUUAAAGGGUGCGUAGGUGGGUUGUUAAGUCAGCGGUGAAAGUCUGGGGCUCAACCGUAAAAUUGCAAUUGAUACUGGCAGUCUUGAGUACGGUAGAGGUAGGCGGAAUGCGUGGUGUAGCGGUGAAAUGCUUAGAUAUCACGAAGAACCCCGAUUGCGAAGGCAGCUUGCUAAACUGUGACUGACAUUGAGGCACGAAAGUGUGGGUAUCAAACAGGAUUAGAUACCCGGGUAGUC